UAUAUGCAUAAUGAAAUUUCUCUUGAUGUAAAAAAGGCAAACCAUCACAAAUGUUAUUAAACUUCGUCUUUUAAACUUAGAGCUUUUGUCGACUAUUAUUGAAGCCAACUUUGAAAUAUUACCGUUUUUGCACCAUCCCAUACGCUUGUCGAUAUUGGCAUAUCCUACCGGUAAGUGAUUUGUCGGCUAUGUACUACCUAAUAUUUUUCGUAAUGAACAGAAUCGAAAGUCUGUAUGCUCUCAUUCAUGGUCCGCUCGGCUUGGUGUUUCCCGGAGAGAUUGAAUCCGAUACAAUGUUUAAUAUGGACAACAACUAUAGUAGAAGCUCAUUGAAGUACUAGAACUGGUUCUCACAGCUCUAACAAUAAUUCUUAGAUCAUACAAAAUAUUC